AAAGAUAGAUGAUGCUUGUUAUAUUUUGGAGGAGAUGGAGAAGAGGAAGAUGAGAGUCGAUUUGAAACUAUGGGAGUCCUUAGUUCAGGAAGUUGGCGAAAAGGAUAAAGGUGCCAUUAAGCUUGUAAGUGAACUCAUCUGUGCCUGAUAAUGCUUUUCUCUGUAUUGCCAUUUUCUAAUCAGUAAAAUUUAAUUGAUAUUUUCGAGCAUAGCUACUGCAAAGUGAAUUGGUGAGCUGGUUGUUCCUGCUGAAUGCAACCCUAGUUUUAGGACAUGAGUUUGUGAGAAGCACUGAUCUAAUACAUCACCUUGACAC
rnacentral:lncRNA from 1 species